rnacentral:rRNA from 1 species
UCAGACGAUGCGUCACGCAUAUCAAUAAGCGGAGGAAAAGAAACUAACAAGGAUUCCCCUAGUAACGGCGAGUGAAGCGGGAAGAGCUCAAAUUUGAAAUCUUAAAGGGUUUCCCUUUACGAAUUGUAGUUUAAAGAAGUGUUUUCUGUUGAGGUUUUGGUAAAAGUUCUUUGGAAUAGGACAUCAUAGAGGGUGAGAAUCCCGUAUUUGACCUUUACUUUCAACUUUGUGAUACACUUUCAAAGAGUCGGAUUGUUUGGGAAUGCAGUCCAAGAUGGGUGGUAAAUUUCAUCUAAAGCUAAAUAUUGGCGAGAGACCGAUAGCGAACAAGUACCGUGAGGGAAAGAUGAAAAGAACUUUGAAAAGAGAGUUAAACAGUACGUGAAAUUGUCAAAAGGGAAGCGUUUGACACCAGUGUUGUUUUUCUGAAAAUCAAUUAAAGAACUGUUUAUGCUAAGUUGUUUAGACUUUAUCAGCUAACUGUUUAGUUUUGAGCUUUUCUUUAAUGCACUUUUCAGUUAACAAGUCAACAUCAAUUUCUUUUGCUGUAAAAAAGCUUGAGGAAGGUGGCUUGAGAUUCGUCUUAAGUGUUUAUAGCCUCUUGCCUAUGCAGUCGGAGAGAUUGAGGUCUGCAGCGUAGAUCCUUCGGGGCUAAAUGCAUUUGUGCUAAGUUAUAGCAUUUUAUAGACAACUUGUUGACUAUGAUUUGUCUUGUAGCUUACUCGCUUAUGUUAUUUUACCUACGCUUAGGGAUGUUGAGCGCAUGUCUCUCUCU